GUAGGUGGCAAGCGUUGUCCGGAAUUAUUGGGCGUAAAGCGCGCGCAGGUGGUUCUUUAAGUCUGAUGUGAAAGCCCCCGGCUCAACCGGGGAGGGUCAUUGGAAACUGGGGAGCUUGAGUGCAGGAGAGGAAAGUGGAAUUCCACGUGUAGCGGUGAAAUGCGUAGAUAUGUGGAGGAACACCAGUGGCGAAGGCGACUUUCUGGCCUGUAACUGACACUGAGGCGCGAAAGCGUGGGGAGCAAACAGGGAUUAGAUACCCUGGUAGUCCACGCCGUAAACGAUGAGUGCUAAGUGUUGGGGGGGUUUCCGCCCCCUCAGUGCUGCAGCUAACGCAUUAAGCACUCCGCCUGGGAGUACGGUCGCAAGACUG
rnacentral:rRNA from 1 species